UUUAUUAGGACGCUGCACAAGCAGGACUUGCAAUCUCCUAGAUAAGGUGAUUGCCAAACUCCCUCCCUAGCUGGAAGGCUAGCAUGUUCAGACAGUUGGUGCUCACAAAGACGGUCCUCUUGUGCUUUCCCGUCUACCACAAGUUAUUGCUUGUGAUCCUGGCCUGGCUGAUCAAGUCAAUUGACAAUUGUUGCAGAGCUUCAUCUAGAAAAGGACGGAAGCACUGAUGGGAGGUCACUGCCUAGUGGCCUGGGACAGAGUUGCUUCAGUUGAUCUUGUGAGAUUAUGCUUGGGUGGUGGAAUCCUAGCCGUGGGGACCCUGAUAAAGCUGGUUAGAGUUGUGAUAGCAGCCCCAAGGCAAGUGGAUGCUUUGAUGCCGAGGUGUCCUUCCCGGCAGAUGGGUUUGGACGCAGCUGGAGGUGUGCACUGAAUUUAUCCGGGCUGAGGGGUUUCUCGUUCCUCCACUCCAAUGGUAUGUACUCCGCUGACUGCAAUGUCUGUUUGAUUGAUUCUCAGCUGUUUUUUACCAUCAAGCCAGUUAGGUAUUCACAGCCUGAAGAUUUGGUUGAUGUGUUUGAUGAAAUAAUUAAAUUGGAUUUGAUAGCAAGAGUUUAAUGAUGAGCUGUUUGGAGCUAGGAUGGGGAAUUCUUGUUGUAGGCUUGUAGCACUUGUUGUGCUGUAGGAGCUAGAACUUCAUUCUGUUUUUGAAAUGUGCGCCAGAGAUUAGUUGCAGAUGAUAGGGCAUAGCCAAUGGCAUUCCAAGCAUUUUUUCUCCUGUCGUGCACUUUCUAUCAGAAGCUUCAGUAAAAUGUUUUCUCCUGUAUUUUUUCCGAAACGGAGGCAAAAGAUUUGUCUCAUCGAAUUAAUUAAGCAAAAGAGAGUUGCCUAGUUAAUUAGCGAAGAUCCGGGCAAAUACCGAUGCAGAUAGACCACACUCAAUGCAUGAAACCCCACAGCCACACAGGUGGCCCACACAGUUGUGUGCUUAAUAGUUCGUGUGAUUUUGAGUUUUGUACGGACUGAGGAGACGCGAUGCUGUAAUUUGUGUGAUCUCACUUCCCUUUUAUUUGUAGAUAUGAUAUAUUUGGUUUUCAUUCUGCUGCCACUUAAUUCAGCGACGGGUUCUAAGCUUAGAUUGCUUGGUUUCAGUUCUCGUGCAUCCUGGUUUCUAGUGCAGGUCAAGACUUGGGAGGGAGAUGGUUAGCCACAUGUUUUCUUCUGCAGGAGAGGUGUCAUAAGGUAGGCAUGAUUGGCUUCAUCAAGCCAUAAGUCAAGACAGUAUGAUUUAGACCUCUGUGAUGUGGUUUUUAUCUGUUCUUACUAGAUAAGGAGCAAUUUUUCAUUGGAAUAGUGUGUUAGCGAACACUAAAGACAUCCAAUUGUUGCCCAUGUGUAUGAUAAAAAUAUUGUUAUCUGUGCUACUGCGUAACCUUGUUUAUGACUGUUUUAUUCAGUCCUGACCCAACACAUUAGUAACUAUGUAUACAAUAUUGUUCAAUGUUUUUUCCAGGAACUGUUGAAUGGGAAGUUGAAGAAGAGAAUCACAUCAUG
rnacentral:lncRNA from 1 species